rnacentral:rRNA from 1 species
GAUGAACGCUGGCGGCGUGCCUAAUACAUGCAAGUCGAGCGAACGGACGAGAAGCUUGCUUCUCUGAUGUUAGCGGCGGACGGGUGAGUAACACGUGGAUAACCUACCUAUAAGACUGGGAUAACUUCGGGAAACCGGAGCUAAUACCGGAUAAUAUUUUGAACCGCAUGGUUCAAAAGUGAAAGACGGUCUUGCUGUCACUUAUAGAUGGAUCCGCGCUGCAUUAGCUAGUUGGUAGGGUAACGGCUUACCAAGGCAACGAUGCAUAGCCGACCUGAGAGCGGGAUCGGCCACACUGGAACUGAGACGCGGUCCAGACUCCUACGGGAGGCAGCAGUAGGUAAUCUUCCGCAAUGGGCGAAAGCCUGACGGAGCAACGCCGCGUGAGUGAUGAAGGUCUUCGGAUCGUAAAACUCUGUUAUUGGGGAAGAACAUAUGUGUAAGUAACUGUGCGCGUCUUGACGGUACCGAAUCAGAAGGCCACGGCUAACUACGU